rnacentral:rRNA from 1 species
AUCCACGGCUCCGAUUGAACGCUGGCGCAGGAUCUUUACAUACCGUCGAACGGCAGCGGACUUCGGUCUGGUGGCAGUGGCGAACGGGUGGUAAUAUAUCAGACAUUUAACGUAGCGGGGAUAACUACGCGGCGUAGCCCUAAUACUGCAUACGCCCUUCGGGGAAAGCAGGACCUUCUGGGCCUCGCGCUUUCUUAAACGGCCGAUAUCGGAUUAGCUAAAUUGGGUGAGAUAACGGCUCACCUGGGCGACGAUCCGUAGCUGGUUUGAGAGGACGACCAGCCACACUGGGACUGAGACACGGCCAGACUCCUACGGGAGGCAGCAGUGGGGGUACACAGAUGUCGAGGGGAAACCCUGAUCCAGCCAUCCCGCGUGUGCGAUGAAGGCCUUCGGGUUUAUGUAACCACUUUUUUGGCAGGAAAAGAAACGGCACGGGAUAAUACCCCGUGCAGCUGACAAUACCUGGAAUAUUUCAAUAACUUUACGUGCCAGCAACCAGUAAUGCGUAAGGGUGCAAGCGUUAAUCGGAAUUACUGGGCGUAAAGCGUGCGCAGUGGUUCGGAAAAGAAAGAUGUGAAAUCCCAGAGCUUAACUUUGGAACUGCAUUUUAACUACCCGAGCUAGAGUGUCAGAGGGAGGUGGAAUUCCGCGUAUGUAGCGUGAAAUGCGUCUAGAUAUGCGGAGGAACACAAAUGGCAGGCAGCCUCCUGGGAUGGCACUGACGCUCAUGCACAAAAGCGUGGGGGCAAACGGGAUUAAAGACACCUGGUCCACGCCUAAGCAAUCAAUAAACUGGCUGUUCAGGGCCUUCAGGCCUUAGGCAAUGCGCAACUAACGCGUGAAGUUGACCGCCUGGGGAGUACGGUCGCAAGAUUAAAACUCGAAAAAUUGACGGGGACCCGCACAAGCGGUGGAUGAUGUGGAUUAAUUCGAUGCUUGCGAAAAAACCUUACCUACACCCUUGACAUGUCUGGAAUGCCGAAAGGGUUGGCGGUACUCGCAAAGAAGAACGGAACCUGGGUGCUGCAUGGCUGUCAUCAGCUUCGUGUGUGAGAUGUUGGGUUGAAGUCACACCAACAGGCGCAACCCGCUAAUCAUUAGAUUUGCUGCGAAAGGCACUCUAAUGAGACUGCCGGUGAUAAAACCGGAGGAAGGUGGGGAUGACGUCAGUCUCAACCAUAUCGGGUAGGGCUUCACACGUCAUACAAUGAACGGUCAGGACAGAAAAUUCGCCAACCCGCGAGGGGGAGCCAAUCGACCCGAUCGUAGUCCGGAUCGCGGUCUGCAGCUCGUGCGUGAAGUCGGAAUCGCAAUAAUCGCGGAUCGGCAUGUCAUGAUGAAUACGUUCCCAGGUCUUGUACACACCGCCCGUCACACCAUGGAAUUGGGUUUACCAGAAGUAGUUAGCCUAACCGCAAGGGGGGCGAUUACCACGGUAGGAUUCAUGACUGGGGGUGAAGUCGUAACAAAGGUAG